CACGUAGGGGACGAGCGUUGUCCGGAAUCAUUGGGCGUAAAGCGCGUGUAGGCGGCUAGAUAAGUCUGCUCUGAAAGCCCGGGGCUCAACCCCGGGAGGCGGGUGGAUACUGUCUAGCUCGAGUCCGGAAGAGGAGUGUGGAAUUCCUGGUGUAGCGGUGAAAUGCGCAGAUAUCAGGAGGAACACCAAUGGCGUAGGCAGCACUCUGGGACGUGACUGACGCUGAGACGCGAAAGCGUGGGGAGCAAACAGG
rnacentral:rRNA from 1 species